rnacentral:rRNA from 1 species
UGAGUACGAGAUGCUACGGCAUCGAAGCAGUCUAUGUCAUACUUCCAAGAAAAGCUUGCACUGUCAGAGACAGAUAAUGCCUGUACCAUAACCGACACAGGUGGGUAGGUAGAGUAUACUAAGGGGCGCGAGAUAACUCUCUCUAAGGAACUCGGCAAAAUGACUCCGUAACUUCGGGAGAAGGAGUGCCUUAUUUUUAAGGUUGCAAUAACAAGAUCCAAGCAACUGUUUACCAAAAACACAGGUCUCCGCUAAGUCGUAAGACGAUGUAUGGGGGCUGACGCCUGCCCAGUGCCAGAAGGUUAAAGAAGUCGGUUAGCAUUCGCGAAGCUGGUAACUGAAGCCCUGGUGAACGGCGGCCGUAACUAUAACGGUCCUAAGGUAGCGAAAUUCCUUGUCGGGUAAGUUCCGACCCGCACGAAAGGCGUAAUGAUUUGGAUACUGUCUCGGAGAGGGGCUCGGUGAAAUAGACUUGUCUGUGAAGAUGCGGACUACCUGCACCUGGACAGAAAGACCCUAUGAAGCUUUACUGUAACUUGAAAUUGAAAUUGGACUUUAUUUGCGCAGUAUAGGUGGGAGGCGUUGAAAAUAUUCUUGCGGGAAUAUUGGAGCCAUCAGUGAGAUACCACUCUUGUAAUGUUAGAUUUCUAACUUUAUAUCAUUAUCUGGUUAAAGAACAGUUUCAGGCGGGCAGUUUGACUGGGGCGGUCGCCUCCCAAAUGGUAACGGAGGCGCACAAAGGUUUCCUCUGAACGGGUAGAAAUCGUAUCUAGAGUGUAAAGGCAUAAGGAAGCUUGACUGUGAGACCUACAAGUCGAGCAGGGACGAAAGUCGGUCUUAGUGAUCUGACGGUGCUGAGUGGAAAGGCCGUCACUCAACGGAUAAAAGUUACUCUAGGAUAACAGGCUGAUCUCCCCCAAGAGUUCACAUCGACGGGGAGGUUUGGCACCUCGAUGUCGGCUCAUCGCAUCCUGGGGCGGUAGUACGUCCCAAGGGUUGGGCUGUUCGCCCAUGAAAGCGGUACGCGAGCUGGGUUCAGAACGUCGUGAGACAGUUCGGUCCAUAUCCGGUGUAGGCGUUAGAAUAUUGAGAGGAGCCUUCUUUAGUACGAGAGGACCGAGAAGGACAUACCUCUGGUGUACCAGUUAUCGUGCCAACGGUAAACGCUGGGUAGCUAUGUAUGGAGUGGAUAACCGCUGAAAGCAUCUAAGUGGGAAGCCCACCUCAAGAUAAG